rnacentral:rRNA from 1 species
UACAGAGGUCCCGAGCGUUGUUCGGAUUCACUGGGCGUAAAGCGCACGUAGGCGGAUGUGUCAGUCAGGGGUGAAAUCCCGGAGCUCAACUUCGGAACUGCCCUUGAUACAGCACGUCUUGAGUCCGGAAGAGGUGGGUGGAAUUCCUAGUGUAGAGGUGAAAUUCGUAGAUAUUAGGAAGAACACCGGUGGCGAAGGCGGCCCACUGGUCCGGUACUGACGCUCAUGCACGAAAGCGUGGGGAGCAAACAGG